rnacentral:sRNA from 1 species
GAAGCCUGAUCGUAUCGAUUGGUUUUGC